rnacentral:rRNA from 1 species
AGCGAACGCUGGCGGCAGGCCUAACACAUGCAAGUCGAACGAAGCCUUCGGGCUUAGUGGCGGACGGGUGAGUAACACGUGGGAACGUACCUUUUGGUUCGGAAUAACGCAGAGAAAUUUGCGCUAAUACCGAAUGAGCCCUUCGGGGGAAAGAUUUAUCGCCGAAAGAUCGGCCCGCGUUGGAUUAGGUAGUUGGUGUGGUAAAGGCGCACCAAGCCUACGAUCCAUAGCUGGUCUGAGAGGAUGAUCAGCCACACUGGGACUGAGACACGGCCCAGACUCCUACGGGAGGCAGCAGUGGGGAAUCUCGCGCAAUGGGCGAAAGCCUGACGCAGCCAUGCCGCGUGAAUGAUGAAGGUCUUAGGAUUGUAAAAUUCUUUUACCAGGGACGAUAAUGACGGUACCUGGGGAAAAAGCCCCGGCUAACUACGUGCCAGCCGCCGCGGUAACAC